GGCGGCAUGCCUAAUGCAUGCAAGUCGAACGAGUUUUGGUCGAUGAACGGUGCUUGCAUCGUGAUUCAACUUAAAACGAGUGGCGGACGGGUGAGUAACACGUGGGUAACCUGCCCUUAAGUGGGGGAUAACAUUUGGAAACAGAUGCUAAUACCGCAUAAAUCCAAGAACCGCAUGGUUCUUGGCUGAAAGAUGGCGUAAGCUAUCGCUUUUGGAUGGACCCGCGGCGUAUUAGCUAGUUGGUGAGGUAACGGCUCACCAAGGCCAUGAUACGUAGCCGAACUGAGAGGUUGAUCGGCCACAUUGGGACUGAGACACGGCCCAAACUCCUACGGGAGGCAGCAGUAGGGAAUCUUCCACAAUGGACGCAAGUCUGAUGGAGCAACGCCGCGUGAGUGAAGAAGGCUUUCGGGUCGUAAAACUCUGUUGUUGGAGAAGAAUGGUCGGCAGAGUAACUGUUGUCGGCGUGACGGUAUCCAACCAGAAAGCCACGGCUAACUACGUGCCAGCAGCCGCGGUAAUACGUAGGUGGCAAGCGUUAUCCGGAUUUAUUGGGCGUAAAGCGAGCGCAGGCGGUUUUUUAAGUCUGAUGUGAAAGCCCUCGGCUUAACCGAGGAAGCGCAUCGGAAACUGGGAAACUUGAGUGCAGAAGAGGACAGUGGAACUCCAUGUGUAGCGGUGAAAUGCGUAGAUAUAUGGAAGAACACCAGUGGCGAAGGCGGCUGUCUGGUCUGUAACUGACGCUGAGGCUCGAAAGCAUGGGUAGCGAAAAGGAUUAGAUACCCUGGUAGUCCAUGCCGUAAACGAUGAAUGCUAGGUGUUGGAGGGUUUCCGCCCUUCAGUGCCGCAGCUAACGCAUUAAGCAUUCCGCCUGGGGAGUACGACCGCAAGGUUGAAACUCAAAGGAAUUGACGGGGGCCCGCACAAGCGGUGGAGCAUGUGGUUUAAUUCGAAACAACGCGAAGAACCUAACCAGGUCUUGACAUCUUUU
rnacentral:rRNA from 2 species